rnacentral:piRNA from 1 species
GGUAAACUGGAACCUGUGGCUGGAGAG